rnacentral:rRNA from 1 species
GCAAGUCGAACGGAAACGAUGCUAGCUUGCUAGCAGGCGUCGAGUGGCGGACGGGUGAGUAAUGCAUAGGAAUCUACCUAAUAGUGGGGGACAACCUGGUGAAAACCAGGCUAAUACCGCAUAAUCCCUACGGGGCAAAGCAGGGGACCUUCGGGCCUUGCGCUAAUAGAUGAGCCUAUGUCGGAUUAGCUAGUUGGUGAGGUAAUGGCUCACCAAGGCGACGAUCCGUAGCUGGUUUGAGAGGAUGAUCAGCCACACUGGGACUGAGACACGGCCCAGACUCCUACGGGAGGCAGCAGUGGGGAAUAUUGCACAAUGGACGAAAGUCUGAUGCAGCAAUGCCGCGUGUGUGAAGAAGGCCUUAGGGUUGUAAAGCACUAUCAGUAGGGAGGAAAAGUUUAAGGUUAAUAACCUUAAGCCCUGACGUUACCUACAGAA